rnacentral:rRNA from 1 species
UACAGAGGGUGCGAGCGUUAAUCGGAAUUACUGGGCGUAAAGCGUGCGUAGACGGCUAUCUAAGUCGGGUGUGAAAGCCCCGGGCUCAACCUGGGAAUUGCAUUCGAGACUGAAUAGCUAGGGUACGGUAGAGGGAAGUGGAAUUUCCGGUGUAGCGGUGAAAUGCGUAGAUAUCGCUUGGAACGCCGAAGGUGAAAACAGACUGCUGGGGUUGCGCCGACGCUGAGACACGAAAGCCAGGGGAGCAAACGGG